rnacentral:pre_miRNA from 1 species
ACAACAUUUGGACCGUCGGUCUACCGAGCAAUAUCACCCGCUUAGUGGAAGAUCUUUCUUUCGUCGU